AGCAGCCGCGGUAAUUCCAGCUCCAAUAGCGUAUAUUAAAGUUGUUGCAGUUAAAAAGCUCGUAGUUGAAUUUCGGGAUCAAUACGUCGGUCAUGCUUUUUGGUACGAACUGGCGUCAUUGGUUUCUCCUUUCUGACGAACCAUGAUGUCAUUAAUUUGGUGUUAUGGGGAGUUGGGACUGUUACUUUGAAAAAAUUAGAGUGUUUAAAGCAGGCAUAAGCUUGAAUACAUUAGCAUGGAAUAAUGAAAUAGGACGUUUGAUCCAGUUUCUAGGAUCAACGUAAUGAUUAAUAGGGAUAGUUGGGGGCAUUAGUAUUCAAUUGUCAGAGGUGAAAUUCUUGGAUUUAUUGAAGACUAACUACUGCGAAAAGCAUUUGCCAAGGAUGUUUUCAUUAACCAAGAACGAAAGUUAGGGGAUCGAAGACGAUCAGAUACCGUCGUAGUCUUAACCAUAAACUAUGCCGACUAGGGAUCGGAUGAUGUUAAUUUUUUAAUGUACUCAUUCGGCGCCUUACGGGAA
rnacentral:rRNA from 1 species